AUGACGGCUUUUAUAGUUGUUCUUGCUGUUCUUAUCUCUUUAGGUGAGGGAGCUGGUGGAUGGUGUCCUGUGGCAGAGGGAGGAGCAGGAGGGGGAUCCAGUCAAGACACAGUCUCCAGAAGUAGCCUGAGCCAAGGAGCUGCUUGCGUGGCUGAGGACCCUGAGGAUCGCUGUCAUCAGUCAAGGCUGCCGGAGGCUUGUUUUCACGAGUUCUCUCAAAUGCUGCAGGAGCUUAGGAACAGAAAACAGGAGCUGCCUUCGAGAUCUGUUCUGGCAUUGGAAGCAUCCCAAGGUUUCCAGGGUGUGAAUACUGACUUGUCAACCAAAGGGCACGCUCCUCAUUCUCUCAAUGCCUAUCCUGCCUCUUCCAACCCAGGGUUGUGCCACCAUUUUAUCCAUUAAGCCAGCCCCUGCCUUGUCAGUCCCACCCCAAUACACCAAGGACACUGAACUGGGGUUCUGCAGCAUCUUUGCUGAAAAAAAUGAAA
rnacentral:lncRNA from 1 species